GCUGCUUCGCUGACGAGUGGCGGACGGGUGAGUAAUGUCUGGGAAACUGCCUGAUGGAGGGGGAUAACUACUGGAAACGGUAGCUAAUACCGCAUAACGUCGCAAGACCAAAGAGGGGGACCCUCGGGCCUCUUGCCAUCGGAUGUGCCCAGAUGGGAUUAGCUUGUUGGUGGGGUAACGGCUCACCAAGGCGACGAUCCCUAGCUGGUCUGAGAGGAUGACCAGCCACACUGGAACUGAGACACGGUCCAGACUCCUACGGGAGGCAGCAGUGGGGAAUAUUGCACAAUGGGCGCAAGCCUGAUGCAGCCAUGCCGCGUGUAUGAAGAAGGCCUUCGGGUUGUAAAACGUUUCAGCGGGGAGGAAGGGAGUAAAGUUAAUACCUUUGCUCAUUGACGUUACCCGCCCAAGAAGCACCGGCUAACUCCGUGCCGGGGCCGCGGUAAUACGGAGGGUGCAAGCGUUAAUCGGAAUUACUGGGCGUAAAGCGCACGCAAGCGGUUUGUUAAGUCAGAUGUGAAAUCCCCGGGCUCAACCUGGGAACUGCAUCUGAUACUGGCAAGCUUGAGUCUCGUAGAGGGGGGUAGAAUUCCAGGUGUAUCGGUGAAUGCGUAUAGAUCUGGAGGAAUACCGGUGGCUAAUGCGGCCCCCUGGACGAAGACUGACGCUCAAGUGCGAAAGCAUGGCCAGCAAACAGGAUCACAUACCCUGGUAGUCCACGCCGUAUACGAUGUCAACUUGGAGGUUGUGCCCUUGAUGCGUGACUUCCGGAGCUAACGCGUUAAGUCGACCGCCUGAGUA
rnacentral:rRNA from 1 species